rnacentral:rRNA from 1 species
UACGUAGGGGGCAAGCGUUGUCCGGAAUCAUUGGGCGUAAAGAGCGUGUAGGCGGCCCGGUAAGUCCGCUGUGAAAGUCAAGGGCUCAACCCUUGAAUGCCGGUCGAUACUGUCGGACUAGAGUCCGGAAGAGGCAAGUGGAAUUCCCGGUGUAGCGGUGAAAUGCGCAGAUAUCGGGAGGAACACCAAUGGCGAAGGCAGCUUGCUGGGACGGUACUGACGCUGAGACGCGAAAGCGUGGGGAGCAAACAGG